UACGAAGGGGGCUAGCGUUGCUCGGAAUUACUGGGCGUAAAGCGCACGUAGGCGGCUUCUUAAGUCGGUGGUGAAAUCCUGGAGCUCAACUCCAGAACUGCCUUCGAUACUGAGAAGCUCGAGUCCGGGAGAGGUGAGUGGAACUGCGAGUGUAGAGGUGAAAUUCGUAGAUAUUCGCAGGAACACCAGUGGCGAAGGCGGCUCACUGGCCCGGUACUGACGCUGAGGUGCGAAAGCGUGGGGAGCAACAGGGAUUAAGAAACCCGUG
rnacentral:rRNA from 1 species